AUUGCAAAUGCUGACAGGCUACACGUUCUAUUCCGAAGGUUACUGAUUCAGCCACACUGGGUCAAAUUCUGAGUCUUUAAUCGAGUAAAACUCCCACUGAAGUUAACAGGACUUCCAGUCGAGUGACAAGUACAUUUAUUUGACUACUAAAUGCUGGCUCCUCACUAUUUCAACCAGAAAGGGCACAGGAGAAUUUUCAACGACAGGUAAUUGGGAAAACUUGGCUCAUAGAACAAAAGCAUCUCAUAACAAGCUGGAUCCUUCACAGAGCCGGGAAGGAGCAUUGUGCAUCGCUAGCAAUGCUGGAGACUUAAGAGCCAAAUAACAGAGGGUCUGAUCCUGCUUUUAACCUCCUUGGGCACACAGUUUCAGACUUGCAAGUUGCCAUUCUCAG